ACGAAGGGGGCAAGCGUUGUUCGGAAUUACUGGGCGUAAAGGGCUCGUAGGCGGCCAACUAAGUCAGACGUGAAAUCCCUCGGCUUAACCGGGGAACUGCGUCUGAUACUGGAUGGCUUGAAUUCGGGAGAGGGAUGCAGAAUUCCAGGUGUAGCGGUGAAAUGCGUAGAUAUCUGGAGGAAUACCGGUGGCGAAGGCGGCAUCCUGGACCGACAUUGACGCUGAGGCGCGAAAGCUAGGGGAGCAAACGGGA
rnacentral:rRNA from 1 species